rnacentral:sRNA from 2 species
AUUCUGCCCAUGCGGGGAAGGAUGAGAAGCUUCGAUUAAGGUUCGGCUCGAGCGCCAGCGAGAGAGCGUUGCCGCAGGCAACGACCCGAAGGGCGAAGCGCGCAGCGCUGAGUAAUCCUUCCCCCACCACCA